AAGUAAGAAAAAUCAAAUAAGAUUUAUGCAGGGAAAUGUUAUCCGACCUCCUGUUACAAUUAUUGACAAGAAGAAGAUUUACAUUUUACAUCUUACUGUCUGGCACAAUUUCCUUAUGCCAAACACAUUCAGAAGCAAGUUGUGUUAUGCUAGAUGAAUGGAAAUCCCAGAGCUCGACCUCAGAUGACAGUUCUUUGAAUUGAGUAGAACAGUUGCUCAAUCAAAAAAUGAAAACAGGAUAAAGGAACAACAUACAGAGAAGUAAAGAGUGAGAACAUAAAUUAAAGGGUUAGGUAAAAAAAUGGCGGAAACCGAAGCUGCAGCACGAAGUAGUCAUUUUCUGUUCAACAGCCACAGGAGCUACAGUAGGUUCCACUGCUGAUGUAUGAGUAAGACAGAGAUCAGGCUACUCAGAAGCUUACUUCAAAGAAAUAUAUGAAAUAAAUAAAAAUAUUUACCACAUCAACUUAAAGGAAAUCUAUUUUUGCCAGUUUGACAAAUGUUGUAGGAAUUUCGAGACUCCAGUGGAAUGAUUCCGGGUAGAUUCCAGGACUUCAAAGGUCUGCAAGAUAUUUCUACAGAAAAAUUAGCAUACAUAACCCAACAUAUCCUUUCAAGAACUAUAGAUUAAGCAACACAUUACUUCAACUAAUCACCCACAAAUCAUUAAUUUUUGCAGAAGUAAGAGUUGCAAUACAUGCUUUCAAGGUGGCAAGAGGAAUUGUUGUUGAAAGAGCAGUCACAAGUGACGCUGCCCUCAAACCCUUUCCUCAAAUCCAAAACACUCCAAUUCCCUUCUCCACUACAUGGAUCCUUGCUAAAAUCCUAGUCCUUCUACCCUAGCUACUUCUUUUAAAGCCUCAACUGCAAUGCAAAACACAUACCCCAAGAAAAACAAUUACCUAGAUUUAUAUAUGAACAUUUUCUUUCUUGAUAUUCUUUCAUGUUAUCCAAGAAAAACUAGAACAUACGAAAAUGAGAUACUUUGUUUCUCGGAGACCCAAUUGGGGGAGUAACCCAAAAAAAAAAACCUUUUCAAAAUCUUGAAGACAAUGAAUGAUAUAGGAUAUCAUAGUUAUUAAUUAAGGCUAGUGAAAAACAUUAAGAAUUUUAUUCAAUAUAGGAUAUCAUAAUUAUUUCGGCCAAAGAAUGAUGAUAUUGAGAGAGAGAGAAAAUAAAGAAUUAAAACAUAUUUUUCAAGAGAGAGAGACAAGAGAUGUCACGACCCGAAUCCUAGAUUCAUAAUUGGCACAUAGGCAAGGUUCCCCUUCAAGGUUCCAUACCUAUGCGAACUCAAACUUACAUACAAUCUUAUCCUUCAAAUAACUCAAUCAAAGUUCAAUGCAGCAGUAACAACAAAAUUAACUUCACAAUAUAAUUCGAUUGUUUUAAUACAAGAGUUAAUACAAUUUUAUAGUUGUGGAGUACUAACUAGACAUAAGGGCAAAUACAAAUUUUAACAAAAGAGCAGGUCCUAAAGGUACAACAAAAUGACCCGCUAACAAGCUAUAAGCCUGAAAAGAUAAAUAAUGAGAGGGUGAGUUCAACAACUCAGUGAGUAGACAACAUUCAAUAUACAUGCACGACGUAAUGCAAUAAUGAGAAAUAUAUAUACAAUUAUGGCUCUAGAUUCUUAUAGAAGGUUUCUCAAAUAGGCCAUAACAAGAAUAUCAGAAGGUAAAGCUCGUCAGAAAAUCAAAAUGCAAUAAGCAUGAGGCUCCAUACUGUGAGAUGAUUAGUCCAUACAGGUUGAUGACUCCCCUGACCAACUAGGAUUCAGAUACGAUGUGCACAAAGACUAACAAUACCCUGUUAGCAUAGGUAUUUUGACUGGCAUACCAUAGGUUCAUAAUCAUAAUCAAAUAGACAUAUUCAUAUAUCAAAGCUCAACUCAUGACAUCAAUCAAAUGCGAAGCUAUAAAUUCAGAAGCCAAUUUAAAAUAUAUAUUGGUUCAUAUCAAGAAUUCAGAUUUAACAAUUGAUCAUGCUUUAUCAUAACAAGGAUAAUACUUAGCAUAUAUAUUAUCAAGAAGCAUAAUCCAAUUCAUAUUAACAAAUCAAAUAUUUAUAAUAUUUAUCAUGCAUAUGGAAAAUUAUCCACUCACCUGACUCGAAAGCAAACAGCACUCAAAAGCAGAUACCGAAGGAAAUCCUAUUAAUGUCUCAUCGGUAGAAUAUCAGGAUUAUCUGAAUACAAAGGAGACAUAUUCAAGAACAACUCGAAAGAACAUAUAACCUAUUUAACACACUUAACUAAGAGUCUAUUUCAUAACCCUAUAUGUUUUUAGACCAAACUAGUUAUUUUUCCAAAAACCCAAAAUUAAACGGUGUUCUCGAAAUCUAAUCCAUAAUAAAACAAAUAAUAAAAUUGGUAAUAAUUCACUAAAUAAACCUCAUUUACUCAUCAAACCAAUCUGAAAAAAGCUAAUAUUACAGAUAGGGACCAAUCUGAAAUUUAUCAUAUUUUUAGGGCCAAAUUGUAAUUUUCAUCUAAUUGGAGGACCAAACUAAAAAUAUCACAAAUUAAUGACUAUAGUGGAAUUAUGUCCAUAAUUCAUCCUCAUUUCUGUCCAGAAUCUCUAAUUAUGCUCCAGGGACCAUUCUGGAAAUUUUCCAAAUUUUUAGGGUCAAAUUAUAAUUUUUGUCAAAUUGGAGGACCAAAUUAAAAAUAUCAUAAAUCCAUGACUAUACUGAAAUUCUGACCAUAUUUAAUCCUCAAUUCUAUCCAGAAUAUCUCAUUAUGCUCCAGGGACCAUUCUGGAAGUUUUCCAAAUUUGUAGGGUCAAAUUGUAAUUUUUGUCAAAUUGGAGGACCAAAUUGAAAGUGUUAAAAUUUCAUAACUAUACAGGAAUUCUGCCCAUAAUUCAUACUUUAUUCUGUUCAGAAUCUUGGAAUAUGCUCCAGGGACCAAUCUGUAAUUUUUCAAAGUUUGGGGACUAAACUGUAAUUUUCACAAAUUGAGGGACCAAACCGAAAUUUUGUCAUCUUCAACCUCAAACCCAGAAUUUCAACAGAAAACCUACUGUUCUUUCCAGAUUCCUAACUCAAAAUUCACCAUUUACACAAAUUAUAACUCAAAAUCAUUAUCAUUGCCUACAAUCUCUCAAAAUCAACUAAACAAUCCAUUACCCAAAACAAUCAAUCCAUAACAUUCAAAUUAAUUCAUCAAUCCACCCAAAAUACAAUCUUCAAAACCCUAAUAUUUAUCUAAACAGAAAUUAAAAGCUCAAAUAACACACAUUUAUACAUUUAACAACCUAAAUCUUACCUUUAAACUUAUUUCCUCCUACUCUCUUUUAUUUCUCUUAUCUUUCCCUCUUUUCUUUUCUUCUUUUUCUUUCUCCCUUCACUCCUGCCAACUCUCUCUCAAAAUUUGCAGAUCUCUUCUUGUUUGUUUUUUUUUUUUUCUAUUUAUACUUAUUAUAUUUAUUCAAUUACAAGAAUACCCUUUAUUUAUUUAUACCUAUUUUUAACCCUUCAAGAGCUUUAUUGUCUUUUCCUACUCAUUUUAUUUCAAAACAUCACAAGAGGGAUUAAAAUUGUUUAUAUUAUAAAUAUCCAUAAACCAGUAAACACCAAAACUUACUUAUAUUAUAACUUUUCAAACUUUAC
rnacentral:lncRNA from 1 species